UUUGUUUUAGUAUAAUAAUACGAAAAUUUUUGAAAUUUUCAAUAAAAGUUAAAGCCUUUUAAACAAAA
rnacentral:tRNA from 1 species